rnacentral:lncRNA from 1 species
AUGGUAAGAGAAUCUUUCAAUGUUAUUGGGUUUUUUUUUUACUUUUCUUCAUCUAGAUUAUCCUUCACUUCUGAAUAUUUGCAUAUCUCAAUCCAUUUUUCUCUCUUUUGUUUCUUUGGUGAGGUUUGCCACUGCAGAUUCCAGUUUUUCUAUUCUGCUUAUCAUUUUUGGCAUACAAGACAUAAUGCUCUCCUAAUUUGUGCUUUAAUAAUUCUCAUUUCUCUUUUAAACCACUCAAGAAUACCACUUCUUAGUUCCAUGUUCUCCUCAAAUUCCACAUUGCCCUCUGUCCAUCAAACAUGGGAUAAUUUUCCGUUGUUUUGUAGUAUUUAGUCAUAGAUGCUUGAACUUGUUUACUGGAUCUGGAAAUCAUAUUUCCCUCUGUCAUUUUUUUCCUAUUGAUUUAUCUGUUCAUGUUCAAGGUCUUUGAGUUUUCUUGUUGAAAUCUUUGGUAAUUUCAGUCUUUUCUUCUCCUUUAUUUUCUCCAUCACUCACUUUCUAACUUACUGUAGUUUCCUUAAUUACUGAUUGUAGUUUCCUCAGAGGCUGAAUCUCAAAGCAUCUCAGACAUCUGAGCAAUCCACACAGUUCAUUAGCUUAGAGCUUUGCCCCAGUUGACUUUUGACUAGCCCUAAACUGGAUACCAAACUCUUUUGGACUUGGAGGAGUGCUUAACACUUUCCCUACCCCCAUACACACAUACAAUAUCCUACCCUGAUGUCCUGUCCUGCUCCUUCUGGUAUUUUGUUCUUUGGCUUUGCUCUGUGGCCAUAGACAGGCUUUUGCUUCCCUGGGGCUAUGGCCACUUGGCAAUUCAUUGUAGCCAGGACAAAUUUCCACAGCAGAGCGCUGGGGUCUCCACGGCACUGAAAAGAACAAAGGGGGGAGGGGCUCUGUUUGUAAGCUUGUGUCAUGUUCUUGAAUCUGGUAGUGCAGCCUCACCUACUGGGAGAUGGGAGAUGUGGGAGAAAUGCUGAGUGAGCUCAGAGUCAGUAACUAUUACUUUAAGGAUUUUUUUAAACCUUCUUUUGGAUUCUGGAUAUGACAGACUGUGGAGACUACCAAGGUUGCUUUAUCUGUGGUGCAUGGUUUCUAUUUUAGAGAGGUCUAAGAGGUCUUGGGAAUCAGGGAAAAUGUCUAGUGCUCCAUCUUGUUGCCUACAUGACCUAAUUCUCCAAGUGCUCUUAUUUGCAAAUGCUGAUUGCAUUCAGCCCUAGAAAACUGUAGAACCUCUUAAACAAGAUCCACAAUUAUGUACAAGAAUUCCGCCUAACAAUUUCCCCAGUAAGAGUCAAAGAAAUGAAGAAUGUCUAACUUACUUUGUUAUGCAGUU